GAUGAACGCUGGCGGCGUGCUUAACACAUGCAAGUCGAACGGAGUUAUGGAGAGAGAGUGAGGUGCUUGCACCAAGUGAUCAUUUCAUAACUUAGUGGCGGACGGGUGAGUAACGCGUGGGUAACCUGCCAUAUACAGGGGGAUAACACUUAGAAAUAGGUGCUAAAACCGCAUAAGCGCACAGCUUCGCAUGAAGCAGUGUGAAAAACUCCGGUGGUAUAUGAUGGACCCGCGUCUGAUUAGCCAGUUGGCAGGGUAACGGCCUACCAAAGCGACGAUCAGUAGCCGGCCUGAGAGGGUGAACGGCCACAUUGGGACUGAGACACGGCCCAAAACUCCCUAACGGGGAGGCAGCAGUGGGGAAUAUUGCACAAUGGGGGAAACCCUGAUGCAGCGACGCCGCGUGAGUGAAGAAGUAUUUCGGUAUGUAAAGCUCUAUCAGCAGGGAAGAAAAUGACGGUACCUGAGUAAGAAGCCCCCGGNU
rnacentral:rRNA from 1 species